rnacentral:rRNA from 1 species
CGCCGCGUGCGGGAUGACGGCCUUCGGGUUGUAAACCGCUUUUAGUAGGGAAGAAGGGCUUCGGCUUGACGGUACCUGCAGAAAAAGGACCGGCUAACUACGUGCCAGCAGCCGCGGUAAUACGUAGGGUCCGAGCGUUGUCCGGAAUUAUUGGGCGUAAAGAGCUCGUAGGCGGUUUGUCGCGUCUGCUGUGAAAUCUGGAGGCUCAACCUCCAGCCUGCAGUGGGUACGGGCAGACUAGAGUGCGGUAGGGGAGAAUGGAAUUCCUGGUGUAGCGGUGGAAUGCGCAGAUAUCAGGAGGAACACCGAUGGCGAAGGCAGUUCUCUGGGCCGUAACUGACGCUGAGGAGCGAAAGCGUGGGGAGCGAACAGGAUUAGAUACCCUGGUAGUCCACGCCGUAGACGUUGGGCGCUAGAUGUGGGGACCUUUCCACGGUUUCCGUGUCGUAGCUUACGCAUUAAGCGCCCCGCCUGGGGAGUACGGCCGCAAGGCUAAAACUCAAAGGAAUUGACGGGGGCCCGCACAAGCGGCGGAGCAUGCGGAUUAAUUCGAUGCAACGCGAAGAACCUUACCAAGGCUUGACAUAACCGAGAACGCCCUAGAAAUAGGGAACUCUUUGGAC